rnacentral:rRNA from 1 species
UACGUAGGGGGCUAGCGUUGUCCGGAAUCAUUGGGCGUAAAGAGCGUGUAGGCGGCCAGAUAAGUCCGCUGUGAAAACUCGAGGCUCAACUUCGAGCUGUCGGCGGAAACUAUCUGGCUAGAGUCCGGAAGAGGAGAGUGGAAUUCCUGGUGUAGCGGUGAAAUGCGCAGAUAUCAGGAAGAACACCCGUGGCGAAGGCGGCUCUCUGGGACGGUACUGACGCUGAGACGCGAAAGCGUGGGGAGCGAACAGG